GGCGUAGCUUAACACAAAGCAUAGCACUGAAAAUGCUAGGACGGGUCCUAAAAAACCCCGCACGCA
rnacentral:tRNA from 1 species